AGAGUUUGAUCCUGGCUCAGGAUGAACGCUAGCUACAGGCUUAACACAUGCAAGUCGAGGGGCAGCAUGUUGGUUGCUUGCAACCAACGAUGGCGACCGGCGCACGGGUGAGUAACGCGUAUCCAACCUACCCUUGUCCAUCGGAUAACCCGUCGAAAGGCGGCCUAACACGAUAUGCGGUUCACAGCAGGCAUCUAACGUGAACGAAAUGUAAAGGAGAAGGAUGGGGAUGCGUCUGAUUAGCUUGUUGGCGGGGUAACGGCCACAAGGCGACGAUCAGUAGGGUUCUGAGAGGAACGGUCCCCACAUUGGAACUGAGACACGGUCCAAACUCUACGGGAGCA
rnacentral:rRNA from 1 species